AACUUCUGAACGUUGACCUCGAAUCAGGUAGGAAUACCCGCUGAACUUAAGCAUAUCAAUAAGCGGAGGAAAAGAAACCAACAGGGAUUGCCCUAGUAACGGCGAGUGAAGCGGCAACAGCUCAAAUUUGAAAUCUGGCUCUCGGGCCCGAGUUGUAAUUUGUAGAGGAUGCUUUUGGUGAGGUGCCUUCCGAGUUCCCUGGAACGGGACGCCACAGAGGGUGAGAGCCCCGUCUGGUUGGACACCGAUCCUCUGUAAAGCUCCUUCGACGAGUCGAGUAGUUUGGGAAUGCUGCUCUAAAUGGGAGGUAUAUGUCUUCUAAAGCUAAAUACCGGCCAGAGACCGAUAGCGCACAAGUAGAGUGAUCGAAAGAUGAAAAGAACUUUGAAAAGAGAGUUAAAAAGUACGUGAAAUUGUUGAAAGGGAAGCGCUUGUGACCAGACUUGGGCUUGGUUGAUCAUCCAGGGUUCUCCCUGGUGCACUCUUCCGGCCCAGGCCAGCAUCAGUUCGCCCCGGGGGAAAAAGGCUUCGGGAAUGUGGCUCUCUCCGGGGAGUGUUA
rnacentral:rRNA from 1 species